rnacentral:rRNA from 1 species
UACGAAGGGUGCUAGCGUUGCUCGGAAUCACUGGGCGUAAAGCGCACGUAGGCGGACUCUUAAGUCGGUGGUGAAAUCCUGGAGCUCAACUCCAGAACUGCCUUCGAUACUGAGAGUCUUGAGUCCGGGAGAGGUGAGUGGAACUGCGAGUGUAGAGGUGAAAUUCGUAGAUAUUCGCAAGAACACCAGUGGCGAAGGCGGCUCACUGGCCCGAUACUGACGCUGAUGCACGAAAGCGUGGGGAGCAAACAGG